rnacentral:rRNA from 1 species
AUGGGGAGCAGCAGCGUCGACGGAGCCGGCGAGAUGUGCUUGGAAGCUGGCGCCGGCAGGGCGGGGAGGCGCGGCGGGAAAAAGGCCGCGGAGAUGAAGGCCGCCAAGCAGCCGCAGCGCGGGCUCGGCGUCGCGCAGCUGGAGAAGAUCCGGAUGCAGAACCAGAUGAUCGCCGCGUACCGCUCCGGCCUGCCGCCGCAGCAGCAGCAGCAGGUGCCGUACGCCGCUGUCCCGACGGCCGGCGCCGCAUCGUCUUUCCAGCCGUACCUAGCUGGUUGCUUUGAGGCGAUGGACCGGAGGAUAGCCGACGUGCAGUACAGCCAGUACUACGCGGAGAACCUGCUACCUAACAGCUCCAGCCGGGCGCCGGCGACGUCGCCGCUCUUCGUCGUCCAUGACUCGUCGUCGUCGGGCCAGAGGCAGCAGCCGCCUCACGAGUACGACUACUGGAUGCGCCACAGCCACGAGUCCAGCGGCCGCGGCGGCGCAGGAAGCACGGAAGAGCUAGAUCUGGAGCUGAGGCUGUAG